AAAAAGAGAGGGAUUUUGAGUUUUAACAGUUGUAUAACAAAAUGGGCAAUCAAAUAUAGAGUUUCUGAUCCAAUGAUUAUUAAUAAGGAAUCUUCAAGUUGAAACUCAAAGAAGAAGACAUAACUAGAAGAAUAUGAAAUAGUUAUUGCCAUCCAACUCUUCUAAAUCCAUAAUGGGGCUAACAAGACUUCAAACAGACCCAGUUCUCUACCAAACCCAGCAAGG
rnacentral:lncRNA from 1 species